AUUUAUCUAAUAUAAAUAGUAUAUUUGACUUCCAAUCAGAAAGUUUGUUUAAUAUAACAAGAUAAAUA
rnacentral:tRNA from 1 species